rnacentral:rRNA from 1 species
UACGGAAGGUGCAAGCGUUGCUCGGAAUCACUGGGCGUAAAGGGUGCGUAGGCGGCCGCGCAAGUCUGGCGUGAAAGCCCCGGGCUCAGCCCGGGAAGUGCGCUCGAAACUGCGCGGCUCGAGUGCCGGAGGGGAGAGUGGAAUUCCUGGUGUAGCGGUGAAAUGCGUAGAUAUCAGGAGGAAUACCGGUGGCGAAAGCGACUCUCUGGACGGCAACUGACGCUGAGGCACGAAAGCGUGGGGAGCAAACAGG